rnacentral:sRNA from 1 species
AUUAGAACAGAUUUUAACUUCCUACAAAGGAAUGGUUCAACCAGAGGAACCUUU